UCCCUCAAUUAUUCCUCACAGGGUUUGUGUUCCAAGCCCCUCACCAGCCUCGUUGCCUCCUCUGGAUACACUCAAGUGUCUCAACAUCCUUCCUGAACUGAGGGGCCCAGAACUGGACACAGAGCUCAAGGUGUGGCCUCACCAGCGCUGGUCUUUGAUCACCCAUGACCUGAGUCUAAUACAUUUGGGGAUGUCCUGUUGAUCCGAAGCCUUGGUCUCCUCACUCCAUAGCAUCUGGGGACAGAAGACUAAAAAGGAGUAAGUCAUGUAAUUCGGGUCUCAGCAGGGAUAGUCACAGGGACAGUAGGGGUUGACACCAUGGCUUGUAUUUGUCCUGUAGAAUCAGUGUUGAUAACAUCUGGGUGCACCAAGGUAUCUUGUAAAGUUGCACUGGAUCUCCCUAUUAGCAGUGCACUCAGUCCUUUCCCUAUGGCCCUAUGGGCCCCUGGGCCUCGAGAGGGACUUUAUGUACCUGUAAAGAUUUUAUGGUUAUUGGGACUGAGGUGGAAAUAUCCAUACCAGCUGAUCCUCUUGUCUUUGCUGUGAGCUGGUCAUGCAGGCUUGUCCUGGAGGGUGGGAAAAUACCUGUGUUGUCACAUGUUUCCCCUUCAUACCGGGCUUCCUGUUUCCCUGCUCUUUGAGAAAUUGUCCGCUAACAUGAGAUUUAGACCAGCAUACCUUGGCCAUAUGUCUGACUCUCCCACAUCAGUUGCAGCUUGCAUUACCACUUCUUUGUCCUUGAGAUGACCCCUGUGGAAUGGGUCUGUGGGGACAGUUUACCUUCACCUGGCCUUGUUGUCCACACCUGUAGCAAUGGGGUGUAGUGUAACAGCAGCUGUAAUAGCAUUAGCUAUAAUAGCUAACAUACCCAUGUUAUGAGAUCCAGUCCCAACAUUAGCACAUGCAUUUAUCAUAUCCUCUAGAGAUGGAUUCUCUUUAGGCAAUGCAUCUAUAAUUUUACUACAGUUUUGGUUUUCAUUAUCUCGUGCCAAUUGUAGCAUUAAUUUACCCCUUGCUUCACUGCUUGUGAUCUGCCUUUCCAUAGCAUCCUGCAAACGUUCUAUGAAUUGCUUAUAUAAUUUGUUGGAGUUUUGUCUUGAAUAGCUUUGGGUUGGCACAGACAAGUUUGUAAUUUUUGUUAGAGGCUGCAUUGCUAAGUUCUUCACUUGGGAUAGUACUGAGGAGUUCAAGUGAGCUUCGGUUUGUGGAUCUUCCAUGGGGUACAACUCCCAUGAGUUGAGGUAUCCCUGCCCCAAAACAUGGAUCAUGCUGUGAAGAUCUUUAAUUUUUCAAUGUCCAGUUCUCUGCAUAGGACCUCCAGGCUGUUUUAAACAUCAUAUGGAGUACAGAUUAAUUUUGCGUCGUGCUUCGUAUCAUAGGGAGCUAAUUAAUUAGAAGUUAUAAAUUGAAGCAUAUUCGCAACAGCAGGCGACCCUAGUCUGUAUUUAGCAGCCAGCUGGCGUAGCUCUGAAAGGAUUUGCCAGUUAAAGGGUACAUGUUUGUCAGGUGUUGUGCCAUUGCAAACUGGGAAUGCUCCAAUUAUUCCCCCUCCCUGCUGCCAGCCCUCUUGUGAUGGUAAAGACAUGGGUGCAGAAAUCAGAUAAGCCCCCUCUAUAUCCCGGCUUUCAAUCGCCUUUUGUUUUAUCUCCAUCCAUAAUAUUACCAGAUCUCGAGUGGGGAUGGUUUCUGCUUGGAAUAUCAAUGAGGUUGGAGCUGCUGUUGGCAGGGGUGCAGACUUGCUCUCUGGGGCUGGUGGUAGGUUGAAGACUUUGGUUGUGUCCGAGGGGAUCUCGUGUUUCCAUCAGCGGUGUGGUUCCUUGGGGCUGUUGGAGCCUUGGCUGCAGAGGCGUUGAGGCUGUGGCAGCGGAGGGCGCGGGGCUGGGCCUGGGGCCUGGUGCCAGGAUGUAACUUCCUGCUUCCGGUGUACUUCCAGCUCUUUUGCUGUAGGUCAGGCUCUCCUUGCCUGUUUUUUCCAGCUUUUUGCUGUUUUGGAUGGGCUCUGCACACCCUGUCCUCUCUCUCCCCUCUGCUCUGCUUGCGGGAACGGCUGUGUCCUCAGUCCAAGACAGCCUUCCAGAAGAUGUGGCCCAGUCUUGCCUGCCUUUCUGGACAACUUGUGCCACAGAUUUUUCAUCUCUAAAUAACCCAUACAUAUAUAUAGGUGUUGGACAGCUUCAGAGCCUGGAACCAUUGAUGAUGGGAGAGUCCAGGAGGUCUCCUGUGGCUCAUGGCAUCUGCUGGGAGGUGAACACUUUCACAAUGAAAUCCUCUUUAGAAUGGCUGACACUUUCAUGAGUAACAGUCCUCAUGUGCAAAGAAAGGUUUUCUUAUUGCCCAAGUUAUUUCACACGUUUUCUUUCUUUUUAUUUAAUUUUUUUCCCUGAAUAGUGGUAGAGAAAUAUAAAAAUCUGAAUAGAUAACAUCUUUAUUGUGAGCUUAUUGGAACGUCAGAGAGGGGCUGAUGAUAGUUUGCAGGUGUAGGAGAGGGGGGAAUAUUUGUAGCACUUGUAGAAAGGUUUAGAGGCAAUCACAGCAGCACCUGACUAAAACCAGAACUGAUUGAAAUCAGAAGAAAGGUGAGAAGCGGGAUGAAUAAAACACGGAUGGGCCGAAAGCGCAGCAAAACACAGUUUUCGCAGAAACACUGGCCUUUUAUCUCACACCUCGAGUGUAACAAAAGUGUUUUCCAGCGG